rnacentral:lncRNA from 1 species
GUACUGUUGCCUCUUAUUGAGUGGUUGAUUUGUUCAUGAUAGAAUGUAAGUAAAAUGUUAUACACAGGGGAGGUUCUAAAGUAUCCAGACAGUGUAGGGGUUGCAGACAAAAUGAUUACUUGGAAAUUUAACUCUUUUGCACGUUGGGACUUUUCUUUGUAUCGUUGCUUUUCUUACUUCAAGCCACAUUGGGAGUUUCAAAUCAUAUAUGCUUUAAAAAAAUCCUCAAUUUCCCACGGACGUUGGUAUAUACAUGUUGCCUCCUUUGGGCCUUUUAAUAUGCAUCAUUUGCCUCACCUCGCUUGGUCAGUCACCGCAGUCUGCUCAUGAUUAUGUAGAUUGUCUUAGGUGACAUGAUUCUCUCUUAAUCACGAUUAAAUGUAAAAUGGCAGAAACAUUCCUUUUGGGCAAAUCACUUUUCUCCUUUUAAAUCAAUGCUAUUUAGAAACAAAACAAAUAAAAUGGAGGCAAUAUCAAUUACCAAGGAUGAAAAGGCUUUAUCUUAUCACAUCUUCAAGGUUUUAUGCCUUUUUCUUCGUGUCCUGCCCUUCCCUCCUCCACUCCCUGCUCCUGUUUCUCUGUGAGUCAGGUUUUAACAAGGGGGACGGCAGAAAUCUCCAAGGAUAUUUCGAGGGUGAGAAAAUGCUACGAUGGACCUGCGUUUCUUGACUAAUGGUGAAAACAGAAGCUCAGAGAGGUCAAGUAACUUCUUCAAGAUUGCACAGCUAAGUGGUAGAAGCAUGUUUCCAGGUUCAGAGACUCCUCUGGCUCAUCACUGUCACAGAACCGCACUGGGCCUCAGUUCAUCACUGGAUAUCAAGAGCACCUCUACCUGCCCAGGGAUUAUCCAUCAAAGGGCCACUGUCCUAAGGAGGCCUGGAAGAGUGAAGAAAGGCCUGAUUGAUCACAAGGUCCUAUCAAAUGUCAAAGCUGGCCCUGGCUGA